UCUAGUGUAGUCAAAAUCAUGACGUAGGAUUUAAGCUCCUAAGGUACAAAUAUCUCUAGAA
rnacentral:tRNA from 1 species